UGCCUAAACUUUCGACCUGAGCUCAGGCAAGGCUACCCGCUGAACUUAAGCAUAUCAAUUAGCGGAGGAAAAGAAACUAACAAGGAUGCGCUUAGUAACGGCGAGCGAACCGCGCAAAGCCCAACUUGAAAAUCUCCCUAGGAGAAUUGUAGUCUAUAGAAGUACCCUCUGCAACGGGCUGAGCUAAAGUCUCCUGGAAAGGGGCGUCAGAGAGGGUGAGAACCCCGUAAGCUUACGCUUAGUUGCCUCACGAGGUGCUUUCAAAGAGUUCGGGUUGCUUGGGAAUGCAGCCCAAAUUUGGUGGUAAAUCCCAUCUAAGGCUAAAUAUUGGCGAGAGACCGAUAGCGAACAAGUACCGUGAGGGAAAGAUGAAAAGAACUUUGAAAAGAGAGUUAAAAAGUGCUUGAAAUUGUUGAGGGGGAAGCGUUUGAAUGCUAGGGUGCGCCUAGGCUUAUGGGUUCUUAACGGGACUCUGUAUGUGCUAGGUGCUGGCCAGCAUGGGUUAGGCUAGUGGGAUAAAAGCUGGGGUUGAUACCCGGUGUAUGCCACUGGCUUGACCAAGGCGUUAAGACUGCCCUUGUCCUUCGGGAACUGCAGUCUCAAGAUGCUGGCAAAAGGCUUUCAACCGACCCGUCUUGAAACACGGACCAAGGAGUCUAACAUGUAUGCGAGUUGGUGGGUGGAAAACCCAUGAAGCGUAAGGAAACUGACUGGUGGGAUGGCCUGUGCCUGCACCAUCGACCGACCAUGCGUUUCUGCAAAAGGUUUGAGUGCGAGCAUACCUGUUGGGACCCGAAAGAUGGUGAACUAUGCCUGAGCAGGGUGAAGCCAGGUGAAAACCUGGUGGAGGCUCGUAGAUGUGCUGACGUGCAAAUCGCUUUUCGGACUUGGGUAUAGGGGCGAAAGACUAAUCGAACCAUCUAGUAGCUGGUUUCCUCCGAAGUUUCCCCCAGGAUAGCUGGAGCUUAUUCGGAGUACGGUCAGGUAAAGCGAAUGAUUAGAGGUUCGGGGGAUGUAACAUCCUUCACCUAUUCUCAAACUUUAAAUAGGCCGGACGUCCAGGUUGCUUGAUUGAACC
rnacentral:rRNA from 1 species